rnacentral:rRNA from 1 species
UACGGGGGGGGCAAGCGUUGUUCGGAAUUACUGGGCGUAAAGGGUUCGUAGGUGGCUUGCUAAGUCAGACGUGAAAUCCCUCAGCUUAACUGGGGAACUGCGUCUGAGACUGGCAAGCUUGAGUGCAGGAGAGGAACGCGGAAUUCCAGGUGUAGCGGUGAAAUGCGCAGAUAUCAGGAGGAACACCGAUGGCGAAGGCAGCUCGCUGGGACGGUACUGACGCUGAGGCGCGAAAGCGUGGGGAGCAAACAGG